rnacentral:rRNA from 1 species
UACGUAGGGUGCAAGCGUUAUCCGGAAUCACUGGGCGUAAAGCGCACGUAGGCGGAUCGUUAAGUCGGGGGUGAAAUCCUGGAGCUCAACUCCAGAACUGCCUUCGAUACUGGCGAUCUUGAGUCCGGAAGAGGUGAGUGGAACUCCUAGUGUAGAGGUGGAAUUCGUAGAUAUUAGGAAGAACACCAGUGGCGAAGGCGGCUCACUGGUCCGGUACUGACGCUGAGGUGCGAAAGCGUGGGGAGCAAACAGG